UCCUGUGAGCAGGAGGCAGAGUAUGGGUGGUCAGCAAGGAUGCUUCUGACCCCAACCGUCUGUCUGACCACGUUGUCCGGCAGCUAGAGUGACAUGGGAUGCCAGCCACCUCUGGAGAGGAGUCGGGACUGGGAGAAGGCUCUACCAGGAGGAAACUUUCCAAAUGUGUGGGAAAUACUUUCUACCCCAGUUCCAAGGAGGACUUGCUGCUGCUGCUGGCCCCGAGGAGGGGCCUUACCUGGAUAACUCAGGCCCUGCUAUAUUUCCCCGGCAUUCUUAGGGUUCCAAGCUAGUCGGACUGCUCCAGGGGAGGUUGUGGCCCCUUAUGCUGCUUCAGAGAGAAAGUUCCACCCAGCCCUUGUCGGUCACCUUGACCAGCAUCUCUGAGCAUGCAGGGAGAUGUCAGUACCGGACCGCCUGGGGCCACCUGAGGUCCUGACUCGGGGGCUACAUCUGGUACAUCUCUGUAUAAUAAGCCUGCACAGUGAAGGUCACUGCAUAGAGCACAGCAAGGCUUGGCUAAGCCUAGACUCAAGGUCACCUGCCCCAGGGAGGCCAGCAGGGACUGUGGCCACUGCAGUGCCACAGUUUAUACCCAUCAUCGAGUUCCUGACAAAACCCUCAGAGGAAAUCAAUUUUUAACUCGGUAAUGUCUCCGUUUCCUUCAAGGAAAGGAAUGAUGUCACAGCUCAAGGGCACAGCUUAGCUUCUGCAAAGCACGAGGGAUAUUUAGUCUCUGAAUAGCUGUCCUUGGCCGUGGAACAGCGGGGACCUGAGCUGUGUGCAGUAGAAAGGAAGGAGGGAGUUAUCCCACCUUAAAUACAACGUCAGUGCUGGCAAGGACACUUGCCCUAUGACAGCUUACCCCAGGUAGCAGAAAUUCCCAGAAACAUAGUUCCAAGCACCAAGAACACACUGUGUUCCAAGGCUUUCUCAUUCAAAUGAGCCUGAGCAGACAGGCCAGGGGGCCCUAAAGGGGACUUUAAUAUGGUUCGAUAGCAACAGCUUCAGCCAGGCUCUCUCACAUCCAGGCCUCCGAGUCCUGCCUGCAAGACCAGCAGUCACCAUGGGACCUCUCUCAAUGGUGGGAUGGAAGAAGGCAGUAGAGGCUCUCGGCUCUGACAUCAGAAGGCACAAGCGCCACAUGGCCAACACAGGCUCCUCCUCGCACCUCACAGGGUCAGCCUCUCCAGCUCUUGUCUACCUGCUCUGUCCCAGAAAAGAGCAUCAUUCCCAACCCGACGUCUAGACUGGGCUGGGCUGGUAGUGGGCUACUGUUACUCCCUAUGCCAAGCUGGGAUGGGAGGCUCAGGUAUCUGUGGGUUCCGAUCGAAUGUCCUUUAACGUCUAUAUCCAUAUAAAUACACGUUUAAGGCAGGCAAA